rnacentral:rRNA from 1 species
GAUGAACGCUGGCGGCGUGCCUAAUACAUGCAAGUCGAGCGAACGGACGAGAAGCUUGCUUCUCUGAUGUUAGCGGCGGACGGGUGAGUAACACGUGGAUAACCUACCUAUAAGACUGGGAUAACUUCGGGAAACCGGAGCUAAUACCGGAUAAUAUUUUGAACCGCAUGGUUCAAAAGUGAAAGACGGUCUUGCUGUCACUUAUAGAUGGAUCCGCGCUGCAUUAGCUAGUUGGUAAGGUAACGGCUUACCAAGGCAACGAUGCAUAGCCGACCUGAGAGGGUGGUUGGCCACACUGGAACUGAGACACGGUCCAGACUCCUACGGGAGGCAGCAGUAGGGAAUCUUCCGCAAUGGGCGAAAGCCUGACGGAGCAACGCAGCGUGAGUGAUGAAGGUCUUCGGAUCGUAAAACUCUGUUAUUAGGGAAGAACAUAUGUGUAAGUAACUGUGCACAUCUUGACGGUACCUAAUCAGAAAGCCACGGCUAACUACGUG